GCAUGCAAGUCCACAUUGAAUAAUGAUAGUGUAGUAGUCUGUAUGAGCAGAAGUUUCCUGUCGUCUUCUUUGCAUUGUGUUGUCAUGCUUCAGUGAUGUGUGAGUGUUUAUAGUGCUGUGAGUUUAACACUUCAUGACUGAGAUCAGAACAGAACAGAAUCUUCAUCAUCACACAAACUAAAAGAACAACAAUGACUUUCAUCAUCAUCUUCAUCUGGACACUUUUUAUCCAAGGUGUCAGUGGACAGAUAACUGUGACUCAAACUCCCGCUGUUAAAACUGUUCAGACUGGUGAAUCUGUCACUAUAAACUGCAAAACAAAUACACAAGUGAGCAACGGUUGUCCUGGUUCAUAUACUUGUAUGGCCUGGUACCUGCAGAAACCUGGAGAAGCUCCUAAACUCUUGAUUCAAUAUGCAAGUCAAAGACUCUCAAACACUCCAUCAAGAUUCAGUGGCAGCGGAUCAAGAACAGAUUUCACUUUGACCAUCAGUGGAGUUCAGACUGAAGAUUCAGGAGAUUAUUACUGUCAGAGUUAUCAUGAUGGUUAUGUGUUGACACAGUGAUAAAGAGUGAUACAAAAACCUCUUUCAGUCAGACUCACAGUGACUGAACUCAUACACCUGUAAUAACACACAACACUGAUCACACAAAUACCACUUAUGGUCAACAGAAAUCAUGCUAAGGUUUAUACAGGUAUGUAUUUUUGAUCAAAUAAAUUUAGAAUGAAUUGAAUUGAAAUUUAGAAAAAAAUGAAUUUCUCUUUUUUUUCGUAGAUGAUCGCCAUUGUAAACCAUCGUCAGCAGCACCUCCUUGUUAACAUACCUGACAACUUUUCAAAAAACCUUGAAGUGAGAUUUUGACAGGGGUUUAAAAUUAUGCAGCACACACAGCCACACAAGUUGGUGGCUCAGAUAUCAGAGAAUUGGAAAUAAUGUGAUGUUGUAUCCUGCAUUCUGGUGGUUUGUGGAGGCCCAAAGCCAUUGAUAGGAACAGCCUACUGGAGAUGGACAAUAUUGUUUACAUUCUGUGAGGCAGAAAUAGCUGAAGAUCCACCCUAAGGAAAUUUUGAAUGUGAUGUAGAUGUAGAGCUAAACAUUCAACCAGAAAACUAUUGUUGUGCCUAAAUG